CGAACCCUGUCUGUUUUUCAGACCGUCAUCACCUGCAUCGGGACGCUGAAGAAAAGCACGGCGGACGAAGAGGGUGUCAGCUGUUUGGUGAUCGGCACGGAGAGCUGCGACGUCUUCGUGCUCGACCCCGAGGCCUUCAUCAUCCUCUCCACAAUGUCGCUGCCCGCCCCCCCCACCAUGAUGGAUGUUACCGGGCAGUUUGACGUUGAGUUUCGCAUCACGGUGGCGUGUCGUAACGGAAACAUCUACAUCCUGCGCAGGGAGUCGGAGAAACCGAAGUACUGCAUCGAGCUGUCGAGCCACCCGGUGGGUCUGGUGCGGGUCGGGAAGAACGUGGUGGUGGGCUGCGCCGACGAGAGCCUGCAGGGGUUCACCC